ACUCGAGUGGCGAACGGGUGAGUAACACGUGAGUGAUCUGCCCUGCACUUCGGGAUAAGCUUGGGAAACUGGGUCUAAUACCGGAUAGGAGCCAUCUUUAGUGUGGUGGUUGGAAAGUUUUUCGGUGUAGGAUGAGCUCGCGGCCUAUCAGCUUGUUGGUGGGGUAAUGGCCUACCAAGGCGGCGACGGGUAGCCGGCCUGAGAGGGUGUACGGCCACAUUGGGACUGAGAUACGGCCCAG
rnacentral:rRNA from 1 species